CGACCCCGCAGUUCGUUCCGGCGUCAUCGGUGCGUCUAACAGCAACAACGUGCCGGGUGGGCACCGAUCGAAUCCGUUGCCGCCCGCCGUCGCUGUCGAUCAGCCGGUGUGUGCGACGCUGUGGGGCGUGUGCGAUGCGAGGUGUUUGUGUGCGUGGUGGAGAAGAGAAGCCGUUGGAGUCUUGCAGUUGCAGGUGAUGAUGACUCGAGCGUUGCUGGCUCAUCACUCAUGGCAAUGCAGUGUCCCAGCUGCCAACCUUCAGAUCAGCAUGGCCUGCACUCCGCUGCAACUACAGCAUCCACGCGAUUCAUCAGCAUGCACACAGCUGUCUGGGAAACAUCAUGCGUGCUGUUCUUUGUAGCACCUCAUGAUCGACAUAGAUGUAUAUCUGGGAUGUGAAUAGUACAAAUCAAAUAACACCAUGUAUAUAUAUUUAUAUUUA